UACGGGGGGGGCAAGCGUUGUUCGGAAUUACUGGGCGUAAAGGGCUCGUAGGCGGCCAACUAAGUCAACCGUGAAAUCCCUCGGCUUAACCGGGGAACUGCGUUUGAUACUGGAUGGCUUGAGUUUGGGAGAGGGAUGCAGAAUUCCAGGUGUAGCGGUGAAAUGCGUAGAUAUCUGGAGGAAUACCGGUGGCGAAGGCGGCAUCCUGGACCGGCAUUGACGCUGAGGAGCGAAAGCCAGGGGAGCAAACGGG
rnacentral:rRNA from 1 species